rnacentral:rRNA from 1 species
AAAAUUGCAGUUGAUACUGGAUAUCUUGAGUGCAGUUGAGGCAGGCGGAAUUCGUGGUGUAGCGGUGAAAUGCUUAGAUAUCACGAAGAACUCCGAUUGCGAAGGCAGCCUGCUAAGCUGCAACUGACAUUGAGGCUCGAAAGUGUGGGUAUCAAACAGGAUUAGAUACCCUGGUAGUCCACACGGUAAACGAUGAAUACUCGCUGUUUGCGAUAUACAGCAAGCGGCCAAGCGAAAGCGUUAAGUAUUCCACCUGGGGAGUACGCCGGCAACGGUGAAACUCAAAGGAAUUGACGGGGGCCCGCACAAGCGGAGGAACAUGUGGUUUAAUUCGAUGAUACGCGAGGAACCUUACCCGGGCUUAAAUUGCAGAUGAAUUACGGUGAAAGCCGUAAGCCGCAAGGCAUCUGUGAAGGUGUUGCAUGGUUGUCGUCAGCUCGUGCCGUGAGGUGUCGGCUUAAGUGCCAUAACGAGCGCAACCCUUGUUGUCAGUUACUAACAGGUUCCGCUGAGGACUCUGACAAGACUGCCAUCGUAAGAUGUGAGGAAGGUGGGGAUGACGUCAAAUCAGCACGGCCCUUACGUCCGGGGCUACACACGUGUUACAAUGGGGGGGUACAGAGGGCCGCUACCACGCGAGUGGAUGCCAAUCCCAAAAACCUCUCUCAGUUCGGACUGGAGUCUGCAACCCGACUCCACGAAGCUGGAUUCGCUAGUAAUCGCGCAUCAGCCACGGCGCGGUGAAUACGUUCCCGGGCCUUGUACACACCGCCCGUCAAGCCAUGGGAGCCGGGGGUACCUGAAGUGCGUAACCGCGAGGAGCGCCCUAGGGUAAAA